UAAAUUAGGCUAAGUUCAACAAGAGGGAUCUGUGAACGAAGUUUGAUUUAAAUUAGUCCAAACUCUGGAGGAAUCUGUGUUUGGUAUUUUUGUCCUCAGCAUAGAACACAAGAACAUCUUUAAUUAGAAAAUCAUCUUUAAUUGCAUCAACUUACUCAGUAGGAGGGCCCAAUGCCUUUAGAUAUCUGUUUUCACACUUACUUGUUCUCGUUUAUUGCUUUUACUUAGGAUAGAACAUACUUUUGCUUUAAUUCACAAUCAUUAAUUUCUAUUUGCAAAUGUCUUCUUACUUAACAAAACUUUGCUAAAUGAACAAGUUCCCUGUGUUCGAUACUCGGUUCAUUCCAUUUUAAUUAUUUUACUUGGCGACCCGGUGCGCUUGCCGAUAAGACCACUCCCAUAUAAAAACAAGUAAUAUCAAUUUGGAAGAGGGAGUAAACUAGUAUUCUGGUCGAACAUAGCUUCACAUUGAUUAAUCCACCCAUUCACGUCCAAUCCUUAGAUGUAGCAUUCAAUGCUCCACAGUUCCCAAACCACUUAAUUGCCGCCAAUUACACCCUUGGAAAAGCAAUGAGCCUUCCACCACCCACUACCUCAGACCACCAAAACACGCUUCCUUUUUCUGCGACCUCCACUUCAACUCUAAGGAAAUCACUCUCUCAACGCCACUGUCGCCAUGAAUUCCGCUUCAUCAACUGCCUCAAGCAAGAUCAAAUUCCAAGCAAUCAGGCGGCUAUUAAUAUUGCAGUUUAAAGCAGCGUUCCAUUGACAACAUAGAGAUACCAACUUUUUAUCACUGGCAAUGGGAACCAGAUUAUCCAGAAUUCGUCGAGUUCAAAUAUGAUGGGGCCAGCUAUGAAAUUCGAGUCAGGCAACACAGGGGCAAAUUUUUCUUUGCUGAUGGCCUAACAAGAUUCAGGAAAGAAUUGUAGAUUUAAGAAUCGAUAACCAUAAAUUUCCUGGCCUGUGACCACCACUCAAAAUUUGACCUCGACUUCACUCCACCAUUAGACCAGCAGACAUGCAAAAGACCACGCUGCGCCUCAAGGAAACCUAUCUGAACCGUUCCCAUCACUCAAUCCAUGCUAGCUGCAUCGUAUCCACUAGUAAAAUAUUCAUAUCUAUUUAUAGCUUCUAUACAAAUCUUAAUUUCAAUGCUUAACUUUUUUUUCCUAUAGCAACUUCCACCCUCUGCCACACAAUGUCUAAUCCACUAUAGUGACCACAUGACAAUCCUUAGAAGAUUUGAACCUCCACUACAAUGGAAUGUCAUCGUGCUUCACAAUGAGAUUGGUGAUAAGUAUGUCGUUCAGCCUUGGUAUAAAUUCCUUCAAGAAAGCGAUUUCAGCCACGGAGACGAAGUGUCAUUCUACUAUAGGCGUGAUGAAAAAAUCUAGGAAGUUGUUAUUAGACGCCAAAAAGAAUGGGACGAUAACGACAUAGAUUAGGUUUUAGCGUUGUUAUUGAAUCUAUUUUGUUAUUUUGGCAGACAAUUUUAGUUAUCUUUGUUUGGAACUAUCUUUGUGCUUAUGUUCUAUGGAUUUGGCAAUCAAUGUA